AAUGCUGAGAAAAUAGAUUGGGUGAGAGAGUACACAAGAGGAAUCUGGAAUUGCAACAGAUGAAGAUGGCCUGGAUGCAGAUUUACAUUACAAUGUCUGAAUUCCUGGGAACUGUCAUAUUGUUCACCAUAGGUGUAACUCAUUCCUCUUGGUCUUGGUACAAGAACCCGGACCUGACGAAUGGUGGGUGCAAAAAGAGCUGUGAUGCUCUUGGCUGACUGGCUGAGCUACAGGUGGCAGGAAUAAAAGAGCUGUGACACUCCUGGCUGACUCUUGGAGCUGUGGAAGAUGGGAAUAAAAGAAUUGUGACAUGCACCUGCUCACCGAGCUACGGGAAUAAAGAGCUGCAACAUUCCUUAUGUGCUCAGACUUCCAGACUCCCUGAGCAAGAGCUGUGACAACCCUUGGGGCUUUGCAACGGCUGGCCUCUCCGAAUUUUCGGGCACUACUGCAUUCUCCUAAUCUAGGCACUGGUGCCCAAUGCGGAAGCCACUCAUUACAUGCCUGGUCCAGCUGUGGGCUGAGUGUGGAUCCUGUGGUGGGCAUGGGACCUGGGCCGAGGCAGAAGCAGAAUGCAGCCUGCCGGGAUGAACAGAUGGAGCAAGCCCCAAGUGAGGCCCCAGGCAGAAGUCGUGGUGGCCACAGAGAUUUCAGGCUUGUGAAGGAGCCCUGAAGGAAUCCUGUAACAUGACUACUGUUUCCUGG
rnacentral:lncRNA from 10 species